CAAUGUUCAUUAAGUCAUCCGGGAGUUGGGCGUCUUGAAAGUACUCUGGUGGGCAUUCUUGGGAUUGAAAGUCAUGUUUUUCUUCCUUUGGGAUAUCUUGAACAACUGGUGGAUUAGCACGUUUAUCCAUACAGAAUUGAAGAUCUUCGUCGAGGCUCAUUUGGUAGUUUAUAAGGUAAUAGAACCAAUUCGGGAUGAAAGGAAUGGGAAAUAAUUGCAUGGCACUGUUGAGACGGAUCACAUGUGUUUGAAAG
rnacentral:lncRNA from 1 species